CCUACGGGUGGCUGCAGUGGGGAAUUUUGGACAAUGGGCGCAAGCCUGAUCCAGCCAUUCCGCGUGAGUGAAGAAGGCCUUCGGGUUGUAAAGCUCUUUCGCAAGGGAAGAAAACUUAUCCGCUAACAUAGGAUGAGGUUGACGGUACCUUGAGAAGAAGCACCGGCUAACUACGUGCCAGCAGCCGCGGUAAUACGGAGGGUGCGAGCGUUAAUCGGAAUGACUGGGCGCAGAGUUGGCGCAGGCAUGUGACAUCCCCGAGCUCAACUUGGGAACUGCGUUUGAAACUACAAGACUAGAAUAGGUCAGAGGGGGGUAGAAUUCCACGUGUAGCAGUGAAAUGCGUAGAGAUGUGGAGGAAUAUCAAUGGCGAAGGCAGCCCCCUGGGAUCAUAUUGACGCUCAUGCACGAAAGCGUGGGGAGCAAACAGGAUUAGAUACCCUAGUAGUC
rnacentral:rRNA from 1 species